UGAGGAGGACAAACUUUUCAUCAUUGAGGAGGAUGUCAACACAUUAGCUCCCUUCUUCUUGAUAUAGAUUAGGUGCCUCUGUGAAACGAAGGAGAAGCGUGACCACCAGCUGUGAAGAACCCGGCCGGUUGACAGCUGGUCGCCAUCGUCCCUAGAACAAAAACUCUAGUGGUGGGAUGCGAAGGAGAAGCGUGACCACCAGCCGGUUACGGUGGAUGCGAAGAGAUCGAUUGAAUGCUUCCACUGAGAGGAGUGGAUCAAACACGCAAGAACUCUGAGUUAAGAACGGAUUAAUGGAAGGCUGAGACGAUACGAGAUAGGAACAUCGAUUGAAUUUUCUGGAAAUUGCAUCGGGGAAGUCGCAAGCUUGAGAGAAGAAGAUAGCUAAUGAUACGUGGGCUUGACAUAAUAUUGAGCUUAAUAAUAAAAUUUAAUAAAAGCCCAGUUGGAAUAAGACCGGAUUACACAGAAAUCGUUUGUUUGGUGAGGCGACACGUGGCGAGAAAGCCCCCCCCUCUCCAGAGUGACGUGGACGCCUGAGAAAGCAGAUAUGUCAACUUUAUUUAAUAAGAUAUUUGCAUGAAGAAAUUAUGAUGGAUUUAGUGUAUAUUGACAGUAGUUUUAUUUUUAUUUGGUUCCACUAUUGUGGAAUAAAAGUAAGGACACUUUGUAAAUUUAAAAUAGAUAUUUCGAAC
rnacentral:lncRNA from 1 species